rnacentral:rRNA from 1 species
CAGUAGCCACGGUAAUACAGAGGGUGCGAGCGUUAAUCGGAUUUACUGGGCGUAAAGCGUGCGUAGGCGGCUUCUUAAGUCGGAUGUGAAAUCCCUGAGCUUAACUUAGGAAUUGCAUUCGAUACUGGGAAGCUAGAGUAUGGGAGAGGAUGGUAGAAUUCCAGGUGUAGCGGUGAAAUGCGUAGAGAUCUGGAGGAAUACCGAUGGCGAAGGCAGCCAUCUGGUCUAAUACUGACGCUGAGGUACGAAAGCAUGGGGAGCAAACAGGAUUAGAUACCCCAGUAGUCCCUGUCUCUUAUAC